rnacentral:rRNA from 1 species
GACAGAGGGUGCAAACGUUGUUCGGAAUUACUGGGCGUAAAGCGCAUGUAGGCGGCCAAGCAGGUCGGAUGUGAAAUCCCUCGGCUCAACCAAGGAAGUGCAUUCGAAACCGCAUGGCUCGAGUCCCGGAGAGGGAUGCGGAAUUCCAGGUGUAGCGGUGAAAUGCGUAGAUAUCUGGAGGAACACCGGUGGCGAAGGCGGCAUCCUGGACCGACACUGACGCUGAAAAGCGAAAGCCAGGGGAGCAAACGGG